UACGGAGGAUCCAAGCGUUAUCCGGAUUUAUUGGGUUUAAAGGGUGCGUAGGCGGCCUGUUAAGUCAGGGGUGAAAGACGGUAGCUUAACUAUCGCAGUGCCCUUGAUACUGAUGGGCUUGAAUGAACUAGAGGUAGGCGGAAUGUGACAAGUAGCGGUGAAAUGCAUAGAUAUGUCACAGAACACCAAUUGCGAAGGCAGCUUACUAUGGUUUUAUUGACACUGAGGCACGAAAGCGUGGGGAUCAAACAGG
rnacentral:rRNA from 1 species